AGGAUAAACGCUGGCGGCGUGCCUAACACAUGCAAGUCGAACGUCCUUGCGGUCUUCUUCUUCGGAGGAGGACCGCGAGGGAGUGGCGGACGGGUGAGUAACACAUGGGUACCUGCCUUUCAGUGAGGAAUACCGGCGAGAAAUCGCCGACAAGACCGCAUAGGCUUCCUUCGGUAGCCCGAGGGAAGCAAAGUUACUUCGCGAGAAGUGACGCUGGAAGAGGGGCCUGUGGCCGAUUAGCUAGUUGGGGGGGUAACGGCCUCCCAAGGCGACGAUCGGUAGCUGGUCUGAGAGGACGAUCAGCCACACUGGGAUUGAGAACGGCCCAGACUCCUACGGGGGGCAGCAGUGAGGAAUUUUCCGCAAUGGACGAAAGUCUGACGGAGCAACGCCGCGUGCAGGAGGAAGGUUUUCGGAUCGUAAACUGCUUUUCUCGGGGACGAGCAAGGACGGUACCCGAGGAAGAAGCCCGGCUAACUACGUGCCAGCAGCCGCGGUAA
rnacentral:rRNA from 1 species